rnacentral:rRNA from 1 species
UCUUUCCUCCCGAGUGCUUGCACUCAAUUGGAAAGAGGAGUGGCGGACGGGUGAGUAACACGUGGGUAACCUACCCAUCAGAGGGGGAUAACACUUGGAAACAGGUGCUAAUACCGCAUAACAGUUUAUGCCGCAUGGCAUAAGAGUGAAAGGCGCUUUCGGGUGUCGCUGAUGGAUGGACCCGCGGUGCAUUAGCUAGUUGGUGAGGUAACGGCUCACCAAGGCCACGAUGCAUAGCCGACCUGAGAGGGUGAUCGGCCACACUGGGACUGAGACACGGCCCAGACUCCUACGGGAGGCAGCAGUAGGGAAUCUUCGGCAAUGGACGAAAGUCUGACCGAGCAACGCCGCGUGAGUGAAGAAGGUUUUCGGAUCGUAAAACUCUGUUGUUAGAGAAGAACAAGGACGUUAGUAACUGAACGUCCCCUGACGGUAUCUAACCAGAAAGCCACGGCUAACUACGUGCCAGCAGCCGCGGUAAUACGUAGGUGGCAAGCGUUGUCCGGAUUUAUUGGGCGUAAAGCGAGCGCAGGCGGUUUCUUAAGUCUGAUGUGAAAGCCCCCGGCUCAACCGGGGAGGGUCAUUGGAAACUGGGAGACUUGAGUGCAGA